UAAGGAAUAUUGGGCAAUGGACGAGAGUCUGACCCAGCCAUGCCGCGUGAAGGAUGAAGGUCCUCAGGAUUGUAAACUUCUUUUAUCUGGGACGAAAAAAGGCUAUUAUUAGUCACUUGACGGUACCAGAGGAAUAAGCACCGGCUAACUCCGUGCCAGCAGCCGCGGUAAUACGGAGGGUGCAAGCGUUAUCCGGAUUUACUGGGUUUAAAGGGUGCGUAGGCGGGUAGGUAAGUCAGUGGUGAAAUCUUCAAGCUUAACUUGGAAAUUGCCGUUGAUACUAUUUAUCUUGAAUAUCGUUGAGGUUUGCGGAAUAUGUCAUGUAGCGGUGAAAUGCUUAGAGAUGACAUAGAACACCUAUUGCGAAGGCAGCAGGCUAAACGAACAUUGACGCUGAGGCACGAAAGCGUGGGGAUCAAACAG
rnacentral:rRNA from 1 species